rnacentral:lncRNA from 1 species
UUGUCAGGAGAGGAGCUGCAGAAGGGAAAAUGGCUGCCGCAACCGCAUCUCCCAUGGCCAGUCAGCUCAAGAGCAGCUUUGCAUCAUCAUCGUCCAGGAGCCUGAUUGCUCCCAAGGGCCUCUCUGGUUCCUCCUUCAGAGCCUUGCCCACCAGGAGGACUCGCUCCUUCACUGUCAAGGCUAUCCAAUCCGAGAAGGUGAGUCUUCUCGCGUCCAUCCUGCCUUGUGUAUCACGAGUCACGAUUCGAUCGAACGUGCUUGUGCCGCGUAAAAUCAAGGAAUUGGUCUUUCAGACAUCUUUAUGUUAUUCUCUAGUCAUCUGACUUGUUUAGCUAGUCUUGGAAGAAGAAAAUGAGACUUGAAGAUAAUGAGUGGAAGUGCCUUCUCUUCCACCAUUCAGUCUAGUUUCUCAUUCUUGGUUCACCCUUCUUAGUCCUUUGGAUCUGUGUAUAUAGAAGAAUAAUUUCACAUGGCAUAGGGUUGCAAGAAGCUGGUCUUUUUGUAUUUGAACUGAUUGAGCUAAUCCGAGAGUAAAGGUCACCGUGAUUGGAUUUCUGCUGUGUGAUUUUUUCUGUAGUGAUAAUUUUUUGUAGCUUGCUAAAAGAGUCAACUAAGAGAUUAUAGCUUCCAAUAUGGAAGAGGGGUGAGGGGUUCGAAUCUCACUUCUUUAUCGAGAAGGUGAGAUGGGAACGAUUUAGUUUCAAAUAUAAGUUUUGAUCUCAUGCCCUUGCAAGAAAGCGAGACAAAAGUCUGAGAGUGAAUUAGAGUAGGAGUAGAGUAGGAUCGACAAAAAACAAAAAGAAAAACUAAGAGAUUAUAGCAUGCUAUCAUUCAUUUGCAAAUACAUAUUCUCUGAGUGACUUCAUUCACUCAUUACAUUAGUUGAUGGGUUUCAAUUCCUGCAUCUACCUUUUGCAUGCAGCCAACCUUCCAAGUGGUUCAACCCCUCAAUGGUGACCCUUUCAUUGGAAGCCUCGAGACUCCGGUCACAUCCAGCCCGCUCAUUGCAUGGUACCUCUCCAACCUCCCCGCCUACAGGACUGCCGUGAACCCGCUCCUCCGAGGCGUCGAGGUGGGCCUCGCCCACGGAUUCCUCUUGGUGGGCCCUUUCGUCAAGGCCGGCCCUUUGAGGAACACGGAGUAUGCAGGAGCAGCAGGAUCAUUGGCCGCCGGAGGCCUGGUUGUGAUCCUGAGCAUCUGCUUGACAAUGUAUGGGAUCGCCUCAUUCAAUGAAGGAGAGCCCUCGACAGCACCGUCGCUAACCUUGACCGGGAGGAAGAAGGAGCCU